ACUCAAAUGAAUUGACGGGGGUCCGCACAAGCGGUGGAACAUGUGGUUUAAUUCGAUACUACGCGAGGAACCUUACCUGGGUUUGACAUGUUUUUGACAGUCGUGGAAACACGAUCUUCCAAGUUUACUUGGACAAUUGCACAGGUGCUGCAUGGUCGUCGUCAGCUCGUGUCGUGAGAUGUUUGGUUAAGUCCUCUAACGAGCGCAACUCUUGCUGUCAGUUGCUAUCGCUUCGGCGAGCACUCUGGCGGGACUGCCCGGGAAACCGGGAGGAAGGUGGGAAUGACGUCAGAUCAUCAUGGUCCUUAUACCCAGGGCUACACACGUGUUACAAUGGCCGGUACAGAGGGUUGCUAUCCCGCGAGGGUGUGCCAAUCUCAUAAAGCCGGUCUAAGUUCGGAUUGAGGUCUGCAACUCGACCUCAUGAAGUUGAAAUCGCUAGUAAUCGCGCAUCAGAUACGGCGCGGUGAAUACGUUCUCGGACCUUGUACACACCGCCCGU
rnacentral:rRNA from 1 species